AGAAUGGCACAAUAAAAGGCCUUUCCUUUCUUAGCAUUAAUCCCACAGGAAAAGACAGUUUUGUCAUCUCCAUUUGCGCAGCAAUUUUAAUUUCCUUUCUCUUUUACCCUUCGAGAUCAGUAAAAGAAUGAAAACAUUUGUAACUGAAAGAUAACAUCAUCUCCUAAAGGAUCUUACUAAGCAGCAAAACUAAGAUUUUCAAAACCUUGAAUUCAAGUAUCUCAAGGACUUACCUAAAGGGCAAAUAAAAUGAGUCUCCUCCAAACAUGUUACAUAAAUUGAAUGCAAAGUCUUCUAACAUAUGCUACACAUACUUUGCUAAGGGAUACCAAGGUUGAAGUAAUGCAGAAGAAUGCAACAGUUUCCGACACUCGUGCUAAACUUAUAUUGAGUAGGAGAUACCACAGUUGAAGUUUACAGAUAGAAUGAAUAAAUAAAUUUUGCUCAAAAAAAUUGCUCAAAAUAUUCAUUGGUAACGAGUGAACGUAUUCGCACAAAGUUCCAUAAAUUAUGAGCCCAAAUUUUUAGAUAACAUCUAUAUCAAGUUUCAAAGUCCUUGUUUGGUAUCGUUUGAACAGGUCCAAUAGUUUUCUAAACAUCUAAUUUGAAGGCUGAGCCCUUUGAAUUUCACAAAACAUUUAUAGCAAAUCUCACUUGGAGUUACUGGACAAGGUCCAAUUCUAAUUGUUUACAUAACCAUCUAAAUUUGUUCUAAGAAUUCUAAUUCUUGCAGCUACCAGCAUCACAUUUUGAACACAUCCAUAAAAUGGAAUAUCUAUCUCAUACUCAAGUAACAUACUAAGCAAUUAGCCAACUCAUUCAUAAGAGGUAAAGUUGAUCAAACAGUUGGUGCUCCUCAAUUCUCAAUUUUUGUUGACCACUAAGAGACCAAACAGUAGCGAGCUUGUGGGCUAAAGGAACUUCUGAAAGCUUUUUUUUUUUUUUUUAAUCAUAUAAAUUGAAAAAUUAUAAGCUCGCUGAAGCCUGAAAAUCUCCACCAUUGUUUACCAGGGAA
rnacentral:lncRNA from 1 species